AUCUAGUCGACCAUCGAAAGAUUCUUCACUAUGAUCUGCGUUCUGGACUCUAAAGAUUUUAUUCUUGAGACUUGGAGAAGACCUUCAGCAGUAUGAGAAAGAGAUUUGGUGGAGAAUAGGUUGAGAAAAAUGGGUUUGGAAGAGGUUGGAAGGUGGAAGAAAGUUGCUGAAAUUUUUAGACUGCAGUCUGCAGGGUUGGAAAGCGAGAAAGAUUUGAAGGACUUUUUGGAGGCUUUUGGAUGUAAAAUUUUUAUGACUUGUAGGAGACUGAUGG
rnacentral:lncRNA from 1 species